ACACUGACGACAUGGUUCUACAAUCAACUUUCGAUGGUAGGAUAGAGGCCUACCAUGGUGGUAACGGGUAACGGGGUGUUAGGGCACGACACCGGAGAGGGAGCCUGAGAAACGGCUACCACAUCCAAGGAUGGCAGCAGGCGCGCAAAUUACCCAAUCCCGACACGGGGAGGUAGUGACAAUAAAUAACAAUACGGGGUUCUUUAGGAUUUCGUAAUUGGAAUGAGUACAAUUUAAAUCUCUUAACGAGGAACAAUUGGAGGGCAAGUCUGGUGCCAGCAGCCGCGGUAAUUCCAGCUCCAAUAGCGUAUAUUAAAGUUGUUGCAGUUAAAAAAGCUCGUAGUUGAAUUUCGGGGCCAGUAGGUUGGUCAUGCCACUGGUAUGUACUGGUCUCACUGAUUCCUUCUUCCUGAUGAGCCGUAAUGCCAUUAAUUUGGUGUUGCGAGGAAUCUGGACUGUUACUUUGAAAAAAUUAGAGUGUUUAAAGCAGGCUAACGCUUGAAUACAUUAGCAUGGAAUAAUGAAAUAGGACGUUCGAUCUUAUUUUGUUGGUUUCUAAGCUUGACGUAAUGAUUAAUAGGGAUAGUUGGGGGCAUUAGUAUUCAAUUGUCAGGGUGAAAUUCUUGGAUUUAUUGAAGACUAACUACUGCGGAAGCAUUUGCCAAGGAUGUUUUCAUUAAUCAAGAACGAAAGUUAGGGGAUCGAAGACGACCAGAUACCGUCGUAGUCUUAACCAUAAACUAUGCCGACUAGGGAUCGGAUGAUGUUAAUUUUUUAAUGACUCAUUCGGCGCUUACGGGAAACCAAAGUGUUUGGGUUCAGACCAAG
rnacentral:rRNA from 1 species